CAAGGAAUGUGUUAUGCAAUGC
rnacentral:miRNA from 1 species